rnacentral:sRNA from 1 species
UUAUUUUUUCUUGCAUAGUAGCAGCAAAAUCCAUGCCAUUUUCUCUCCAGAUAUAGGGAAGGACAUUUUGAAACAUAUAUAGUGUUGGAUGAACUCCAGAGUCCUCCAUCCACUGCAAAACCUAUUGUUACCUCAAUAUACUUUCUCCAUUUCCCAACAACUAGGAGAUUUCUAAGAACAACCGCAUAAGUAGAAAGACCCACAGUAGAACAUGAAGUCACCAUCUUGCCAACUAUACCUUCAUCAUGUUCUCUGUCUUCCCACAUUUUCCAAGAAAAUUUAAAACAUGGUUUAGUGUUCCAACAGAAAUGGAUGAGAGCGAAGAAUCCAAAUAUUCAAUCAUCUCACUUGCUGUUUUCCAUAAACGUACAUGGUGCAUGAAGCUAUUAUCUCAAAAUAAGAUUUUUGGUUCAACGGGAUGGAUUUUUUCUUCAUGAAUUCCAUCAAUUGAAGGACUCUUUCAGGUUCGCCACCCUUAUUGAAUGCUUCCAUGAGAGAUGAGCAUAUAAUGGCAUCUGGUGGAAUACCAUUUACUUCCAUCUCUUUGAACAGGUCCCAAGCUCUCUUCCAACCACCUUAUGGUCCAUAAGAACUAAAAGAUCAUAUAUGUCAAAACAUCAGGAAAACAGCCUGAUUUUUUCAUAGAACUGAAAGUAGAUUCUGCUUCAGAUACAACACUUGCCUGUUUGAUAUACGAAUAAAUCAAUGAAGAGUAAACCUCCUUGGUUGAAGAAACCUUGGAGUCCACCAUGUCCUCAAAAAAUCUCAAAGAUUCCGUAUACUUUCCUAAUUUACUAGAUCCACUGAUGAGUAUAUUGUAGGUUACAGCAUCUGGUUUCACAUUGCUCUCCCUCAUUGAUGUAUACAACUCCAAAGCUUUCUCAUAAUCUCCAAAACUUAAAUAACUUUUAAUGCCGGAGUUGUAAGCAACUGUAUUUAGAUCAAUACCUCGGGACCUAGCUGCUUCAAGAAUUGUCUCAAUUCUUGUUAUCUGCCUGCAGCGACCGCAGGCAGCCAACAGAGUACUUAUGGAAACAACAUCUGGCUGAAUGCCAUCUUUCUCCAUUUCAUGCAGCAAGCCAACAGCUUCCUUCAACAUUCCCGCAGACCCAUAGGCAUCAAUAAGUGCAUUGUAACUGACUUUAUUUGGUUUGCAUGAGUUCUUCUUCAUCUUGUUAAAGACCUCCCUAGCCUUCUCAGGCUGUGCAGAUCUACCAUAUGCAUUCAGUAAGGAGGUAUACGAAACUAUAUCAGGUCGUAACCCAUUUUUCUUUAUUAAAUUAAAAAUUGCCAAGGCCUCUCUAUGCAUACCUCGUGAGGCAUAUGCACCCAAAAGCGAAUUAUAUGCUACAAUAUUAGGCUUCACUCCUUCAGCAACCAUCAAAUCAAAGAUUGCUUUGCAAUUUUCAACUUGCCCAUAAAUACAAUAAGAAUGCAUGAUGCUAGUAUAUGUAACAACAUCUGGAGGACAUUUGGUUCUUCUCUCCCUCAUUGAGUUAAACAAUUCAAUAGCUUCCCCACACUGUCCAAUCUUUACAAGGCAAUGGAUGAUAAUAUUUAACGUGAAAGUAUCAGAGGUGACAUUUGCUCCUUUCAUUAUUUCAAAAUAAGAUAUUGCUUUUGAGUACUGAGCUCCAUUCUUGAGAGCAGACAAGACAAUGUUGUGUGUAACCAAAUCUGGUCCCACACCAUUUUCUGUCAUUUUCUUACACAGUUCUAAAGCUUUUUUCCAGUUGCCAGCAGCCCCACAUGCAUUUAUCACAUUAUUAUACGUAGUCCGGGAAUGAUACUGACAGCAGCACGAAGCAUAUCUUCCAUAAUGUUGAUGGCCCAACGCCAUUGACCAGCUCGAGAAUGAGCAUGGAUGAGGGAAUUGUAUAUAUCAGCAUCAGGUUUACACCGCCAUUCCUGCAUCUCAAAGAACAGGCCACGUGCCUGAUCAACCUGGUUAUGCCUCGCAUAUAGUCGUAUCAUCAUGCCAUAAAUGUCGUUACGAGCACAGUAGUUAUCCUGAUUUUUCAUCCAGCAGAACACAUGGACAGCAUGCUGUAAAUUCCCAGAAAUUGUGAUCUCCUACAAGAGAGGGAAGUUGCGGCGGGCGAAGCGGCCGGCCCAGCAGUUGAGCACGGCGUCGACGGCGCGGGCCUCGGCGCGCGGGAGCGCGAGCACGCGCGCGGCGGCCUCCGACACCUUCCAGUCCCGCUGCCACCGGCUCCCCUCCACGCGCAGGCGGUGGCGCGCGGGGAGCGAAGCGGCGCCCACGCCCUCCACCUCGGCGCGGGCCUCGCGCCGGCCCCGGUCGUAGUCCACGGACACGGCGGGGCGGCGCUCCGCCCACCCCGGCGGCGCGGCGCCCGGGUGCGCCAGCCGCGGCCGCGGCGGCCGUGGGGGCGCGCGGACCACGCGCGUCCGGGCCGGUGACGCUGGCG